AAUAUUGGACAAUGGGCGAAAGCCUGAUCCAGCCAUGCCGCGUGUGUGAAGAAGGUCCUCGGAUUGUAAAGCACUCUAAGUUGGGAGGAAGGGCAGUAAGUUAAUACCUAGCUGUUGUGACGUUAGCGACAGAAAACGCACCGUCUAACUGCGUGCCAGCAGCCGCGGUAAUACGGAGGGUGCAAGCGUUAAUCGGAAUUACUGGGCGUAAAGCGCGUGUAGGUGGUUUGUUAAGUUGGAAGUGAAAGCCCCGGGCUCAACCUGGGAACUGCAUUCAAAACUGGCAAGCUAGAGUAUGGCAGAGGGUGGUGGAAUUUCCUGUGUAGCGGUGAAAUGCGUAGAUAUAGGAAGGAACACCAGUGGCGAAGGCGACCACCUGGGCUAAUACUGACACUGAGGUGCGAAAGCGUGGGGAGCAAAC
rnacentral:rRNA from 1 species